rnacentral:rRNA from 1 species
GACGAACGCUGGCGGCGCGCUUAACACAUGCAAGUCGAACGGAAAGGCCUGCUUUCCCUUGUGGAUUGCGGGUACUCGAGUGGCGAACGGGUGAGUAACACGUGAGUGAUCUGCCCCCAACUUGGGUAUAAGCCUGGGAAACUGGGUCUAAUUCCCGAUAGGACUGCAGGGUGGUGCCUGUGGUGGAAAACGAUUUUCUAGUGGUUGGGGUUGAGCUCGCGGCCUAUCAGCUUGUUGGUGGGGUAAUGGCCUACCAAGGCGGGGACGGGUAGCCGGACGGAGAGGAUGGACGGGCACAUUGGGACUGAGAUACGGCCCAGACUCCUGCGGGAGGCAGCAGUGGGGAAUAUUGCACAAUGGGCGGGAGCCUGAUGCAGCGACGCCGCGUGGGGGAUGACGGCCUUCGGGUUGUAAACUCCUUUCGACCGAGAGGAAGCCACCUGGUUGGAAGGGUGGUGACGGUAGUGGUAGAAGAAGCACCGGCUAACUACGUG